UGGGGAAUUUUGGACAAUGGGCGCAAGCCUGAUCCAGCAAUGCCGCGUGCAGGAUGAAGGCCUUCGGGUUGUAAACUGCUUUUGUACGGAACGAAAAGCCUCUCUCUAAUACAGGGGGGUGAUGACGGUACCAUAAGAAUAAGCACCGGCUAACUACGUGCCAGCAGCCGCGGUAAUACGUAGGGUGCAAGCGUUAAUCGGAAUUACUGGGCGUAAAGCGUGCGCAGGCGGUUUUGUAAGACAGUGGUGAAAUCCCCGGGCUCAACCUGGGAACUGCCAUUGUGACUGCAAGGCUGGAGUGCGGCAGAGGGGGAUGGAAUUCCGCGUGUAGCAGUGAAAUGCGUAGAUAUGCGGAGGAACACCGAUGGCGAAGGCAAUCCCCUGGGCCUGCANUGACGCUCAUGCACGAAAGCGUGGGGAGCAAACAGGAUUAGAUACCCUGGUAGUCCACGCCCUAAACGAUGUCAACUGGUUGUUGGGGAUUUAUUUCUUCAGUAACGAAGCUGAAUCGCGUGAAGUUGGACCGCCUGGGGGAGUAACGGCCGC
rnacentral:rRNA from 1 species